UAACCAAGGCUAAUAUGUAGUUUAGCCACCAACCUCUCUUUCUUUUUUCUCCCUUCAAUAUGAAUCUGACUGCAACCUUCUAAUUUUAAGUAGUUUAAUAAUUAUAGUAAAUCAAGAAAGGGGACAGGUAGGUGGGAAUAGGAGACCCUUGCUUUUUCUUCAGCUGAGUCAAAAUGGCUCAACUUCAGCUUAUCUAUCUUCUUAGUCACUAUCUCUAUCUCAACUAAACAAAUGACAAGCAUCCUUCUUUGGAAGGUCAAGGGAUGGAAAGGAUCUUCAGGGUGAUUCCCUGGAGUUAAGGGAUCAGCCCCUUUAAACAGCUGUAGAUGUUUGGUUCUUCCUCUAAUGGAUGCUCUCAAACAAACAGGGAUCUACUUCUUCAGGGUAAGGGGAAUGGAGGCACGGUUUUUCCACAGGUUGGGAUCUAGAGCUCCUGGUCUUUGCUUCACACUCAAAUGAGUCCAGAGGGCAAAGACCCUUUCUGUUUAUCAGUUUCUCCCACAAUUCUCUUUUCUCACUCCAACUGUCACUCCCCCUCCCAUCACAUUCCAAAUGAUGUCUGUUCCAUCUCAAUGGGAAGAAAUGUAAAAGCUUGAUUCACAGUUUUCCUUUCCUCAAUACUGACACAAAUUUGGGGGUCCCAGAGGUGAAUCAGACAUGUGAGAAGGAUGACACACAUCAGGAGGACCACUGAAGCUGGUAGCAAUCAGAGGUAAAGGAGUGUUGGAGAUGGAAUGACUGUGAGAUUUAAGAGAUCAGAAGAGACACCAGAGAUCCAGUGACAGGAGUCCAUGGCAGAGACUGCUAUAGCCACCAUAGUCAAGUCAGAUUAAGGAUACAUUUACCCCAAGGAAUGAACUAUGGGAUUCAGCCUAGCAGUAAACAGGCUCAGUAGCUGAGAUUCUGUAUCCUGAAAGCAAAGAAUUAACACUAUUGCAUCAGCGAUGUCCCAUUCAGAAAUUAAUUGGAUAGGGCAAAUACUUUGUAGCAAGUAGUUUCUUCUCACAAAAGUUUGGAUACUCCUUGUUCAAGUUAUUUAUCUUUUCUUAUUAAAGGUCAUGGAGUUUUCUUUUUUA